rnacentral:rRNA from 1 species
GACGAACGCUGGCGGCGUGCCUAACACAUGCAAGUCGAGCGGAGAAAUUAAAGCUUGCUUUAAUUUCUUAGCGGCGGACGGGUGAGUAACACGUGGGCAACCUGCCCUUGAGAGGGGGAUAACACAGAGAAACUUGUGCUAAUACCGCAUAACAUUUAGACUUCGCCUGGAGUUUAAAUCAAAGGAGUAAUCCGCUCAAGGAUGGGCCCGCGGCGCAUUAGCUAGUUGGUGAGGUAACGGCUCACCAAGGCGAUGAUGCGUAGCCGACCUGAGAGGGUGAUCGGCCACAUUGGAACUGAGACACGGUCCAGACUCCUACGGGAGGCAGCAGUGGGGAAUAUUGCGCAAUGGGGGAAACCCUGACGCAGCAACGCCGCGUGAGCGAUGAAGGCCUUCGGGUUGUAAAGCUCUGUCUUUGGGGACGAUAAUGACGGUACCCAAGGAGGAAGCCACGGCUAACUACGUGCCAGCAGCCGCAGUAACAC